rnacentral:tRNA from 1 species
UGGGGAGUCGUCUAGAGGUAGGACAUGCGGCUCUGGACCGUAGAGCGGGGGUUCGAAUCCUCCCUCCCCAGCCA